rnacentral:RNase_P_RNA from 1 species
UGGAGCAAGACCGAAUAGGGGGACAAUGGGGUGGCCCGCUCCGUCCCCGGGUAAGGUCGCUGGAGGUGCCAGGCAACUGGCAUCCUAGAUAGAUGACCACCCUCGACAGAACUCGGCUUACAGGUUUACUCAACGG